UACGGAGGAUCCGAGCGUUAUCCGGAUUUAUUGGGUUUAAAGGGAGCGUAGGCGGGUUGUUAAGUCAGUUGUGAAAGUUUGCGGCUCAACCGUAAAAUUGCAGUUGAUACUGGCAUCCUUGAGUACAGUAGAGGUAGGCGGAAUUCGUGGUGUAGCGGUGAAAUGCAUAGAUAUCACGCAGAACUCCGAUCGCGAAGGCAGCCUACCGGCGCGCGAC
rnacentral:rRNA from 1 species